ACAGUAGUCGCCCGGGUUGCCGCAAGGCCUCCCGGGUAACCUACCACCCUUUGUUUAUUACACUUUGUUGCUUUGGCAAGCCUGCCCUCGGGCUGCUGGCUCCGGCCGGCGAGCGCUUGCCAGAGGACCUAAACUCUGUUUGUCUAUACUGUCUGAGUACUAUAUAAUAGUUAAAACUUUCAACAACGGAUCUCUUGGUUCUGGCAUCGAUGAAGAACGCAGCGAAAUGCGAUAAGUAAUGUGAAUUGCAGAAUUCAGUGAAUCAUCGAAUCUUUGAACGCACAUUGCGCCCUGUGGUAUUCCGCAGGGCAUGCCUGUUCGAGCGUCAGUACAACACUCAAGCCUAGCUUGGUCUUGGGCCUCACCGGAGACGGCGGGCCUUAAAAUCAGUGGCGGCGCCUGUCGAGCCCUAAGCGUAGUAAUGCUCCUCGCUAUAGGGACUUGGUGGACGCUGGCCAGCAACCCCCAACUUUCUAAGUUUGACCUCGGAUCAGGUAGGGAUACCCGCUGAACUUAA
rnacentral:rRNA from 1 species